AGCAGCCGCGGUAAUUCCAGCUCCAAUAGCGUAUAUUUAAGUUGUUGCAGUUAAAAAGCUCGUAGUUGGACUUUGGGUUGGGUCGGCCGGUCCGCCUUUCGGUGUGCACCGGUUUACUCGUCCCUUCUGUCAGCGAUGCGCUCCUGGCCUUAAUUGGCCGGGUCGUGCCUCCGGCGCCGUUACUUUGAAGAAAUUAGAGUGCUCAAAGCAAGCCUACGCUCUGUAUACAUUAGCAUGGGAUAACAUCACAGGAUUUCGGUCCUAUUGUGUUGGCCUUCGGGAUCGGAGUA
rnacentral:rRNA from 1 species